rnacentral:rRNA from 1 species
UACGGAGGGUGCAAGCGUUGCUCGGAAUUAUUGGGUGUAAAGGGUUCGUAGGCGGUGUGGCAAGUCGGGAGUGAAAUCUCUGGGCUCAACCCAGAGUCUGCUUCCGAAACUGCUGUGCUUGAGUGUGGGAGAGGCGCGUGGAAUUGCAGGUGUAGCGGUGAAAUGCGUAGAGAUCUGCAGGAACACCCGUGGCGAAAGCGGCGCGCUGGACCACUACUGACGCUGAGGAACGAAAGCUAGGGGAGCAAACAGG